AGCGAACGCUGGCGGCAGGCCUAACACAUGCAAGUCGAACGAAGUCUUCGGACUUAGUGGCGGACGGGUGAGUAACACGUGGGAACGUGCCUUUAGGUUCGGAAUAACUCAGGGAAACUUGUGCUAAUACCGAAUGUGCCCUUCGGGGGAAAGAUUUAUCGCCUUUAGAGCGGCCCGCGUCUGAUUAGCUAGUUGGUGAGGUAAAGGCUCACCAAGGCUACGAUCAGUAGCUGGUCUGAGAGGAUGACCACCCACAUUGGGACUGAGACACGGCCCAAACUCCUACGGGAGGUAGCAGUGGGGAAUCUUGCGCAAUGGGCGAAAGCCUGACGCAGCCAUGCCGCGUGGAUGAUGAAGGUCUUAGGAUUGUAAAAUCCUUUCACCGGUGAAGAUAAUGACUGUAGCCGGAGAAGAAGCCCCGGCUAACUUCGUGCCAGCCGCCGCUGUAAAAC
rnacentral:rRNA from 1 species